rnacentral:rRNA from 1 species
UACGAAGGGGGCUAGCGUUGUUCGGAAUUACUGGGCGUAAAGCGCACGCAGGCGGAUUGAUAAGUCGGGGGUGAAAUCCCGGGGCUCAACCUCGGAAUUGCCUUCGAUACUGUCAGUCUUGAGUCCGGGAGAGGUGAGUGGAAUUCCUAGUGUAGAGGUGAAAUUCGUAGAUAUUAGGAAGAACACCAGUGGCGAAGGCGGCUCACUGGCCCGGUACUGACGCUCAUGUGCGAAAGCGUGGGGAGCAAACAGG